rnacentral:rRNA from 1 species
AUACGGGGGGCGCAAGCGUUGUUCGGAAUUACUGGGCGUAAAGCGCGUGUCGGCGGCGAGGUAAGUCGGGUGUGAAAGCCCGGGGCUCAACCCCGGAACUGCAUCCGAAACUGCCUGGCUAGAGUCCCGGAGAGGAGGGCAGAAUUCCCAAUGUAGGGGUGAAAUCCGUAGAUAUUGGGAGGAAUACCAGUGGCGAAGGCGGCCCUCUGGACGGUGACUGACGCUCAGACGCGAAAGCGUGGGGAGCAAACAGGAUUAGAAACCCCUGUAGUCC